AAAAGACAUGGAACAAAAAGGCAACUGAUGGUAUAAAAUAGAAGUGCCAGGGACUGCGGAAAGGGCAACUGGAUAGGGGACACAGAUAAAAGAGCUGAACAAAGUACGGCUAGAAAGCAUUUGUUUAUUUUUCAACUAGCAGCAGAACCAGCCAUUCUGCAAUGGUAGAUUGGAAAGAGAAGAUAGUGACGACACUGGAAAGACUCUCAAGACCUGGAGCUGCUCUUUGAAAAGCUUUGGAAUAAAACAGCUACGUUGGGCCAUAGGAAAUGCGCUAAAGACAAAAGGGAUUUAAAAAAAAAAAAAGCCUUAUACUUUGGAAAGCUUAGGAAUGAAAAAAGCCAAAGCCAUGUAUGAGCUUUAUUGAUAUCCUGAAACUUAAAUUUAUAAAUAGAGAUAAAAGGUAGAAAGCACUGAGACACAUUUUACUGGCUACUCUCAUAUAAUAAGAAAUUUCCUAGAUGUUGCAGCUUUUACUCUUUUUAUUGAUUAAUGGCUUGGCAGACUUCUCUAUGAAAGGAAGUUGUGAAACUCAUAAAGAGUUGGAGGCUAGGAUAUACAUAGAGUUACUAUAUGUUUUAAAUUAAACAGCAACAGUGAAUGU
rnacentral:lncRNA from 1 species